UAGGUCCUGAUGUGUUUGUUGUAUACCUAGUUUUGACCGAACAUUUAUUUAUUCGGGAGUCUGCGUUUUCAAAUGGAGUACAUGCCUCUUUUUCUAUCGGUCAAAGAGGACUUAUAACAUUUGAGAUAAGACACCCACCUGCUGUGAGCGGGAUCAAAACGAAGGAAAUUGACAACGGCACAAUCGGGACUUUU
rnacentral:other from 2 species